rnacentral:rRNA from 1 species
UACGUAGGGUGCGAGCGUUGUCCGGAAUUAUUGGGCGUAAAGGGUGCGUAGGCGGUGAGGUAAGUCGGAUGUGAAAGCUCCGAGCUCAACUCGGAAAUGGCAUUGGAAACUACCUUGCUAGAGGGUUUGAGGGGGGACUGGAAUACUUGGUGUAGCAGUGAAAUGCGUAGACAUCAAGUGGAACACCAGUGGCGAAGGCGAGUCCCUGGAAAACUCCUGACACUGAGGCACGAAAGCUAGGGGAGCAAACAGG